rnacentral:rRNA from 1 species
AUUGAACGCUGGCGGCAUGCUUUACACAUGCAAGUCGAACGGUAACAGGGUGCUUGCACCGCUGACGAGUGGCGAACGGGUGAGUAAUGCGUCGGAACGUGCCGAGUAGUGGGGGAUAACGCAGCGAAAGUUGUGCUAAUACCGCAUACGUACUGAGGUAGAAAGUGGGGGACCUUCGGGCCUCACGCUAUUCGAGCGGCCGACGUCGGAUUAGCUAGUAGGUGAGGUAAAGGCUCACCUAGGCGACGAUCAGUAGCGGGUCUGAGAGGAUGAUCCGCCACACUGGGAAUGGGACACGGCCCAGACUCCUACGGGAGGCAGCAGUGGGGAAUAUUGGACAAUGGGCGCAAGUCUGAUCCAGCCAUGCCGCGUGCGGGAAGAAGGCCUUCGGGUUGUAAACCGCUUUUGUCUGGGAAGAAACGCUCUGGGUUAAUACCUCGGGGUAAUGACGGUACCUGAAGAAUAAGCACCGGCUAACUACGUGCCAGCCGCCGCGGUAACAC